AGUGUCGCUCGCUUUAAAUUUGGUACAGAGUGAGCACUUACAGGAGCAGUCAUCAGUACAGUCGCAUUGACCCUGGAAGACCACAGCAAACAUGAGCUGGCUGCUCUUUAAUGCGUCGCACUAGAGUGAGGUAAAACCCAGCGCCCAGACAGUUCUUGAGGAAAAGAGGAGAACCACAGCAGUACAGUCGACCCUGAGAGAUGAUGGCCACACGGUCACUCAGCAGAUCCGCUUCAUCCAUGUGGUACCAGCACGGUAUUUCAGCAGAAGGUCCCAGAUGGAGCGUCUGGAAUAUGGGUCCACUCCUGAUGUGGGUUCAUCCAGAAACACCACUUUAGCACCUCCAACAAAAGCCAUGGCCACAGAGAGCUUCCUCUGCAUGCCACCUGCAUACGAAAACAAAAUCCCUUUGUUAUUCUGCACAAAUGUAGCUUUGAAGCAGAACUAGGUUCAGACUGCAGAGGAAGGAAUUGUAAAAUAAAAUAACCCUUCUAAGAUUCAAUGAUCAAACCUGA